AGCAUAUUGCAUGGAUCGUACUGCAUGCUGCAGUAGCAUAUUGCAUGGAUCGUACCGCAUGCCGCAGUAGCAUAUUUCAUGGAUCGGGCUGCACGCCGCACCAAUAUAUAUAUUAUAUUGGAUCGGGCUGCACGCCGCAACAUUAUACAUAUUGGAUCGGGCUGCACGCCACAACAUUAUAUAUAUUAUAUUGGAUCGAGCUGCACGCGACAUCAUUUUUUGCUCUUGGGCUAUAGGAGCCCCUCCGUAGUCUGUACACACCCCCACUGAGCACAGGGUACCCAUGGAUCGGGCUACGUGCCGUAGCGGCAACCUUUUUGCGCUUGGGCUGAAGGAUCCGAGUGUGUACACACCCCCAGUGAGCGCAGGGUAACCAUGGAUCGGGCUACGCGCCGUAGCGGUCAUAUGCAUUGCAUUGCAUUGCAUUCACGCAUUCACUCCUGUUUGUACUGCGUGGCACGAUAUUUAGCACUCCUAUAUCAUUGGCAUACAUACUGUCACUUGUCUUGUUGACCAAAUACCCUGGUGUUAUAUGUUAAGGAGUGCUGAGCCCGAGAGGCUGAUGUUAUAUGUUGUGAGUCGGGAGUGAGCCCGCGGGGCUGAUACUGUACUGAGAGGUUGAUGCUGAGGCCGAGGGGCAGGUCUCUAAUUACUUCCUACUUAUUGAAAUUAUCUUUG
rnacentral:lncRNA from 1 species